rnacentral:rRNA from 1 species
AUGAUUUCUCUCAAGACAGACAAAUUGGUCAGGGUGGAUUUUGGAGUGGUUUACAAGGGUGUACUCCGAAAUGGGAUUAUUGUUGCUGUCAAGAGGAUAGAAGUGAAUCAAAUCACAAUUGAUGACGUGUCAUUUCGUCGUGAGUUUAAUAGCCUGAUGAACAACAAUCAUCAAAAUGUAGUCCGGUUUCUUGGCUUCUGUUCUAAUACACAUCAUAUACCGAGAAAAGAGGCUGGAGAAAUUAGCCUUGUCAACGUAAGAGAAAGAUUGCUCUGUUUUGAGUACAUACGCAAUGGAAGUCUUGAUAAGCAUAUUACUGAUGAAUUAAGGGGACUUGAAUGGGAACCACGUUAUGCAAUAAUGUCUGGAAUUUGCAAGGGUUUGUUUUAUCUCCACGAGGAAUUUUUUUUUGUUCAUAUGGACCUUAAACCGCCAAAUAUAUUACUUGAUGAUCAUAAGAUUCCAAAAAUUACUGAUUUUGGGUUGUCAAGAUCUGAUGAAAUGUCGCAUACUACAGGUCAACGUUUUGGAACACCAGGAUAUGUCGCUCCAGAAUACAAGAAAGAUGGCAAAACUUCAUUCAAGUGUGACAUAUACAGUUUGGGUGUCAUAAUCACAGAAUUGGUAACGGGGCGUAAGAGCGUCCCUCACAAAAAUAAUGUACUUCAUAGUAAUUGA